CGGCGGACGGGUGAGUAACGCGUGGGUAACCUGCCUCAUACAGGGGGAUAACAGUUAGAAAUGACUGCUAAUACCGCAUAAGACCACAGCACCGCAUGGUGCGGGGGUAAAAACUCCGGUGGUAUGAAAUGGACCCGCGUCUGAUUAGCUAGUUGGUAAGGUAACGGCUUACCAAGGCGACGAUCAGUAGCCGACCUGAGAGGGUGAUCGGCCACACUGGGACUGAGACACGGCCCAG
rnacentral:rRNA from 1 species